CAGUCGCCGCGGUAACACGAAGGAGGCUAGCGUUGUUCGGAUUUACUGGGCGUAAAGCGCACGUAGGCGGAUAGAUAAGUCAGGGGUGAAAUCCCAGAGCUCAACACUGGAACUGCCUUUGAUACUGUCGGUCUGGAGUAUGGAAGAGAUGGGUGGAAUUCCGAGUGUAGAAGUGAAAUUCGUAGAGAUCGGGAGGAACAUCAGUGGCGAAGGCGGCCAUCUGGGACAACACUGACGCUGAGGCACGAAAGCGUGGGGAGCAAACAGGAUUAGAUACCCCCGUAGUCCCUGUCUCUUAUAC
rnacentral:rRNA from 1 species